UGCCUUAGGGUACCACCAUUUAGAAGAUGUUGGGCAGUUCAAAAACCAAGGGAGCCUGAGCACCUUCUUGUCAAAAAUAAUGAGUUUAAAUUGUUCUUUCUUGUUUUCACUUCCUCAUCUAUAAAAUGGGGAAACUACUCUGUUCAUUCCCUAGCCAUAAGGGUAUAAACAUCCAGAUGGAAAAGAGGAUAAAGAGAGAAUAGUGUCAUGAAAACACAUUAAGAGGAAAUGAUUGUGUCCAGUGCACAAAGACAGAAAUCUCAAGAAGACUGAGAAAUGCAAUUACAAAAGAGAACUUGGAGAGAGAUUAAGUGAUUUAUGUUUGUAGUCUCCAGGAUCUUUAAGGUCAAAGCCAAGAUUUAAAUCCAGGUCCUGAGACAGGUCCUAAAUCACACACUGACCACAGCAGGCAUUCUGGGAACUUGUUUUUUUUUUUUUUUUUAAAUAUUUUGAUAAACUUAUUUCAAUAUAAUUGGCUUCCUUUGUACUCCUAUGUAUUUUAUGUGAUACAUUUAAAACUUGUAUUCUGAGAAAGGGUUCAUGCUAUUCACAGGGUUUUCUUGGCAGAGAUGCUUCAGUGGAUGGCCAUUGUACACAUGAGGAAUUCGGGCAAACGCAGUUAAAUGGCUUGCCCAGAGUCUCUCAGCUAGGAAAUAUCUGAGACUGAGCAGGAAGAGGAGUCUUCUUGACUGCAGGUCCAGGGCUCUGUGCAUACCAUUGAUGGCUGACCAAAGAAGUGGCCCUCCAAGUCAUGAUGCAGUAUGAAAGCCAAAAUGUUUUCUGGGCCAGAUUCUUGUUGUACAGAUACAGGAGCAGAACUGUCCACUGGUUUAGUUCUGAAACUUUCAAUUCUGAUUUCCAUGCUACCACUUAUUUGUUAUGUACUUCAUAAUAUAACUUCCAGGAAUGUUCUUAUUAAUCAAUCAAAACAUUUAUUAACCACUCCAUCUAUACUAAACAUUAUACAUUAAAAAAGAAGCCAAAGACAGUCCCUGCCCUCAACCAGCUCACAAUCUUUUGGGGCACCUACAUGCAAAGAAAUCUAUACAAAGCAAGCCACAUGGCAGCCUAAACAAAGUAAAUAAUUAACAGUGAGAAAGCAUCAAAAUUGAGAGGGGUUUGUGAAGGUUUCCAAUGAAAGGUGGGAUUUUAGGUGAGACUGAAGGAAACCAGGGAGAUCAGCAGGCAGAGAGGAGGAGGAGAAGAAAGCAUGAGGACAUUAAGUAUCAUUAAUGAUGCAUUAAGUAUCAAUGCAUCAGGACUAGAAAGGGGGAGAGGGAACAGGUGAUGAAGGGCUUGGCCUUCUUAAUCCAGGCUCUCAUAAAAGCAUUUUCUCCAAAGGUUUUCCCAGGUAGGAUGGUAUAGUGGAAAGAGCACAGGCUCUUGGGUUGGAAGUCCUCAGCAACACAUCUAAUGUCUAGGACCAUAUUGUUCUUUAUCACUACAUUAAGGCUGAUCACAUCUAAAGUCUAUGGCAAAUAAAAGGCUAUGAUUCCAUUUCUGUUUCAGUCACAUCCCUGCUGGGAAUCAGAAUGACAGUGCUGACAAUUUACAUCAACCUCAGAGUAAACAGUUAUGAAAAUGUUUCCCUUCAUCAUGGGACAUUUAAUUGUUUUUUGAUAAAAUCAAAAGCAUCUUUGAGGUCAGAUAAUUAGUAUUCUGACAGCAUUGACAGACCAAGUUUCUCUCAUACUUCUGGUUCUGAGUAUACUAUAAUUAAAAUAGAUAGAAAAAUCCAAAACCUGAAAAUCAAGCCACAAUAUUUGUAAAUGAAGCUGAUUCUCACUCUCAUUGUAAAAGCAUUUGCUUAAAGGUAACCAAGUUAACAGAAUCUGAACUCAUUUUCUUUUACCCACAAUGCCACAGAUUAAUCUACAGUAUUAAUUAUUUCUCUGGUAAAGGCCUGGACUCCAAUCAUUUCUAUCUUUAAACUCUUCUCAUAAAUAAGAAUAUUAAAAAUUAAGGUGCUUAAUGAAAAAAAAUUCUCUGAUUAGUAAGAAAACCCAAAAUCUAACAGCAUUUUUCCUUUUAAGAUAAAGUCUAUUUGAGUUUCAGUAAACAUGUUCGGGAUAGGAAACUCUUGUCUACCUCCCUUUAUAAUUAACAGAAUGAAAGCACAGUAAUGUAUAAGUUCUAUUACAGCCAAUAUUUCAGCAAACUCUCCCAACUUACUUUAUUUCCUCAUACACAUAUAUUCAUCCUAGAAACUUUUUAUUUUAUCCUUAUCUAUAACAUCAAUCAAAACAGAAAAAUAACUCCAUAAAAAUGAAGUUUGUUUUCGUGAGACUUUUCCCUUCCUUGUAUUUACCUUUUAGCUCCUCCCGCUUCCUACCCUAGGCUCUUUCAUAUCUAUAUUUCAUGUCAAGUAUUUCUACAACAAACUGUGCAUUUGUAUAAUCCACAUCGGAUUGCCUCUUUUCUUAGGGAUGGGGAAAGUAAGGAAAGGAGGUAGGAAAAAAAAAUUUUUUCCAAGUCAAAAGCUUACAAAAGUGACUACUGAAAACUAUCUUUACAUGUAAUUAGGGGAAAAAAAAUAUAUUAACAAACUUUGUGUGAUUUAGAGAAAUAAGUUCUGUUACCUUUUCCUUUUUAUUCCCCUACUACCUGAAUGACUCUGCUCAGUCUCCCCACUCAAUCCCAUCCUCUAACCACUGGUGACUUACAGGGGCUUCUUUCUUCUAUCUACUAUUUUACUUGAUUUCAUUAGCUGCCAUGGAUUUAAUGAUCAUCUCUCUAUGACAGUGAUUCUCAAAUCUACUACUCCUACCCCAAAAUCUCUGCUGAACAUCCAUCUGUCUCCAACUGUCUUUCAGAGUUCUCAAACUGAAAAUCUGGGAGAUAACUUAAAAUCAAUGGGUCCAAAACAGGAAUCACUCUUGUCCAUCUUGAAAGGACUGUUUUAACAUUUUGGAGUCAAUUUUAUUAAUGAUAUUGGCCUUUAGUUUUCCUCUCAUUAUAUCUUUUCCUGGGUCAGGUAUUAGAGACCCUAUUUGUCUCAAAAAAGGAUUCUGGCAACAAUGUUUUCUUUUUUUCUUUUUUUUUUUUGCUGAGGCAAUUGGGGUUAAGUGACUUGCCUAAGAAGUAUUAAGUGUCUGAGACCAGAUUUGAACUCAGGUUGUCCUGACUUUAGGGUUAGUGCUCUAUCCAUUGCACCAUCUAGCUGCCCCUGUUUUCUAAAUUUUUGAGAAUAAGUUGUAUGGAUACUAAUAAGUAUGGAUAUUGAUUGCUUUUUAAAAGUUUGAUGAUGUAUGAUGCUUUUGGUAUCAUGUGCUAUUGGUCAGUUUGAUAACUACACUAUACUGUUUGUAUAUAUUUAUAAAUCUGUACCAAAUUGAAGCUAUACAUUAUACAUAAUUUUAUAUGAGGAAGAUAAAUGUUUGCAAUAUGGUUACUUUGGGCAUUUUAGGGAGUUCUAUAUAGAGAGCUGAACUUAUUUUGAAAAAUACAAGGUAAACUCUAAUUAAUUUUAAUAGGGACAGCAUCUGAAACUAGCAAAUUCAUAACUAAUGGUUAUUCAAAAACACUAUUGAUGGAAAUCUUUUAACUACAUGUUACUAAUACAUUUUUCAUGAUUUAAUAAAAAAAAAAGGUUAAGAGUAAGAAAAAGGAGCUUUUUCUUUUAGUAGCACCUUUAAAACUAUCUCUUUCCAUUUCUAAGUUUGGAUCAUUUAGGAUAUCUUGUGACACUCUGGAAGUUUUAUGUUUUUAAGGAUACUGUUGUCUUUUGCAUUAUCAGUUUUGAUAGCAUAUAAAUGCACAUAAUUUGUUUUUUUAUUUCUUCUGGUUUUGCUGUGAUUUCACUCCGGUCAUUUGCUAUUUUACUGAUUUGAUUUCCUGCCUUCUUUUUUAAUCAGAUUAGCUGAGAGCUUAUAAAUUUUAUUACCUUUUUUGAAAAAUUAGAAUUUAAUUUUAUCACUUUGAUGGGGCUUUUCUCUAUCUCUUCUGUGCUUAUUUUAGUUUUCUUGCUGGCUUUCUAAUUUUUUAAAUGCAUGUUUAGUUCAUUAAUCAUAUUUUUCUAUUUCAUUAAUGUAUACUUUUUAGGGGAUAUGACGGCUUUAACCCUUGGAAUUUAGUAUGUUUUUUCAUCAUUAUAAUUUCUUUUCACAUAAUUAUUGUUUCUAUGACUUGUUAUUUGACCCAUUCAUGAUUAAGAUAUCAUUGUCUCCAUUUGGAUCUGUUUUUUGUUUAUGGCCCCUGAAUCAAUGACUAUUUCCUAACAAUAUGGUCUGUAAAUGAUGUAUAAAUUAUCUUUUUACACCUAUUAAAUAUAUGCUCCAAUUCAUGGUCAAUUUCUGUAAACAUGGCGCUGAAAAAUACGUUUGUUUUUUUUUAAUGCAAUAGCUCCAUCCCUCCCCCCACCUUUUUCAUCUGUUAGGCUUAUCCAAAACUGAGAGACAGUAAAGUCUUUUGUUACUAUGGUGCUACUAUCUAUGUCCUCUUGUAGCUCAAUUAAUAUGUUAUGUUGACUAUGUUGACCGUAAUUAGGUUCAGCAUAAUGUAAUUUCCUUGUUUAUCUCUUUUAAUUUUUGAAUGUUUGGUUUUGCUUUGUCAUGAUAGCAUGAUGAUAAUUUGUACUUUUUUGGCUUCGUUUGACAGAAUAAGUUUUUUUUCAGUUUUAUUUGUGUAAAUCUUUGCUUUUAAAAUGUUUCUUAUAAGAGAUUUUAGCUUUGUGUUUUCUUAUUGAAUCUGAAUCUUUUCCUUAUUGGUCUGUUUAUGUCUCAAGUGAGUUACAUUUAUAUUUUCCUCCAUUUAUUUCUAAUACUGGGUUUUUCUCAAGUUAGAGUUUUGGUUUUUUCCUUCUAAAUACAGUACUGUCUCUUCAAUUAUUUCAGUUCAAUCUUUUUUAAAGUGGUCCCAUUCCUACCAAUUUGUACAAAAAUACUUAUAGCAGCUCCUUUUAUAGUGGCAUAGAUUUGGAUGUCCAUCAACUGGGAAAUGGUUGAAGAAGUUGUGAUAAAUGAUUGUGAUGGAAUACUAUUGUACUAUAAGAAAUGAUGAGAAUGCUUCCAGAAAAACUUGAAGACUUACAUGAACUAAUGCAAAGUGAAAUGAGCAGAAGUAGAACACUGUACAUAAUAAGAACAAUAUUGUACAAUGAUCAAUUCUGAAUAAUGAUUCUCAGCAAUACAAAAAUCCAAGACAAUUUUGAAGAACUAAUGAUGAAAAAGGCUAUCCACUUCCAGAAAAAUAACUGUGGAUAGACUGAAGUGGAUUAUGUUUUAUUUUAUUUUUGUUGUGGUGGCUUUCUUGUGUGGGAGGGAACAUUUUCUUUCAUAUCAUUUACAUGGAAAUAUACUUUGCAUCCCUGCAUAUGUAUAACCUAUAUCAAAUUGUCUACCAUUUUAGAGGGGGCAGAGAUAGAAAGGGAAGACAAUUCAGAAGUAAAAACUUUAUUUUUAAAUUUUAUUUUGUUUAAAAAAAAAAACAGUAAGAAAAAAAAGAUUAACAGAAAAGGAAUACAAAAAAGAGAAUACUGUCAUGUGCCCAGCAGAACAUUGUUCUUGUUUUCUGCUGCACACCAUACCUUUACUCUAUUUUCUUGCCUUUUGUCCCUCCUACCCCCAACCAGACUAUAAUUAUGAAAGGAUAUAUUUAUGUAUACAUAUAUAUAGAAACACCUACAAAUAGCUCUGCCCCUCUUUGUCUCUCGCCCUCAUUUCUCUUCUAUCUCUGAUGACUCUUUGCCUUAAUUCUGCUCCAUAACUUGCCUUGCUACUAUUUAACCUCCCUCCACCCAUGGAUCCCUUCUUCCUUGUCUUAUUCAACCUCACUCUUUGCUUCCCUUUCCCCCAUCUCUCCCCAUUUUUCUUUAUAGAUUUUGCAGGGUGCUAUCCCAUUCCGGAUAAUAGGUUUUUAGAACUACAAGCACUCCUCCUCCAUCUAAUGCCUCUAUGUCUAUUCUUCUUCCGUACCUCAUUUGUAUGAUAUGAUUGCCAUUUUAACCUUAAUUCUGAUGUAGUCUUUCUAUGCUCUCCCUGAGGCUCAAAUUUGUUCUGUUUGUGGGAAAUAUGGAGAGCUUGAAAUUUACCAGCCUACUUCACCACUUUCUCAAAAUUCUCCCAAAACUUUUAAAAAACUGUUAAAAAUUGCUUUACAUAUAAUUUUACAUAAGAUGUUUAAAAGUUUAAAUUUUAAAAAGGGAUUCUAUUCCCUUUUGUUGCCCCUUUCCCUUUAGAGUUUUGCUUAAUUCUUUUCCUUUUCUGGUUUAAUGUGGCUAUUUAGUUUUUCCUCUUCUAUUUUUCUCCCAUGUCAAAUAGAUUCCCCCCUUUCUCUCCUUUCCUUUAAUUGGUCUUAUUAAUUCCCCCCCCCCACAAUUUCAUUUGAGUGCCCCUUUCCAGAAAAGGUUUUUCCUCUCUUCAAUAUCUAUCCUCUUUUUCUACUCUGGGCUCUCAUUCUCUGAUUUAUGAUCCUUAAAAUUAUUGAGUUCCUCUUUAUUCUUCAUGGAAUCAAAAUUUCUGAAGUAUUGCUCUGGGUUUUCCCUUCUAAGUAGUCUCUGCCACUGCCUUCAGAUUCCUCCUUUAUUGUGUUUCACUCCCCAAAUAAUGCCAAGUUCUGCAGUUGACAAAAAGAGCUUGGUCCCACUGUAGUGUUCUCUGCAAGUCUCCCCUAUCUCUGAUAUCCCUGAUUACAAAGACUACCACCAAUCUACAUAUAAUCUUAUCCCAGCUACUUCUCUCUCCAUUAGUCUCCAACUUCUCUUCCCCGAGUCCAUGGCCUCCUAUUCCUCCUGGUGCUAACUAUCCCCAAAGCACACAGAGCCAUCUUUUCAAUCACUCAAUCUCCCAGACAACGACUAGCACAAGGGCCAGGACACCUCUCUAAUCACAAAAACACUGUCACUACCAAAGCAGGGGCUCCCCCUUUUGCCCCUUCAUCUUCCUAAUCCUUUUCCUAUUCCUCUCCACUGCAGGUUCCUGUCUUCCCAAAUGUCCAAAGGCCCAACCUUCCCUUUAUGAUAGAGGCACUUCAUUCUCCCUUCUCUCUUUGUUCUUCCUCUUGAGGUCCUGGGAGGAUUAGCACUGAUUGUCAGGGUUGGCCAGAACCUUUUCGGACAGCUGCUUGACCGCUGGUGUCCCGGACUCACCCACUCUCAUCCAGAGCUCCAAGCAGCAUGCAUAGUGGCCAGAGCCCACGGGCUGAGUUAGGGUCCAUCCACCCCAAGCUGUGGAGACUUUCCCAGCAGGAUGGGCAGAGGAGAACAAUCUGGUCAUCCGGACUUUUGCCCUGCCACAGGUCAAGAUGUUAUCUGUGAUGUCAUCUAUGAUGUCACCAGUCCUCUUCAAAAACAAAGGAUGAACAGCAGCAAGGCAAGAAGACUCUCUAUCCCACCUCCUCCCGCCCAUUCACCAGUAUUCUGUCCAUGAUGCUUCUCCACUACUGCCUCCACCUUAGUGUUCCUUUCACCACUGUCUCCUGGUAUACCUUCACAAAGAAAUCACCUCCUACUCUCCCACUGUGUCUUUGGCUGCUCCAUCUGUUUAUUGCUCCCACUUUCUGCAGUCUGGGGUUUUGAGGAGUAAAUGAAGGCAGGGAAAGUAGAUGGCAAAGUGAACCGAGCACCAGCCCAGCAAAAGUAAAAGGAAGGUCUGGGUUUUCUCCCCCCCUUUUUUUCCACUUAUGUUUAAACUCAGAUUUGCAGGGUAGCACACUAAAUCUUAUGGUUCACUGAUCUUCAGAACAAGUUAUUCAGUUAAUAACUGCAGUUUUCAGUUUUCAGGAACUUUAAGAAAGAUUUCGCCCAAAAUUUGGAUGAAAUUUGAAAGUACUUGAGAAGGAAGAAAAGAAGGGAAAAAAGAAGGGAGGAAGGAAGAAGUAUUAGUAGGACAAGGAAAAAGAUACUCAGUUGGCAGGGAGAAAUUGCUACAAGCCUUGGCUCCAUGGAAACUGUAGUAACAGAAGCAGAAGCAGCAGGACUGGGCUACCCUGUAAAAGAGGCCUUCCAGAAUCCCAAGCAUGUCCUUCAGCCACAGCAUCCCCUGGACCAACAGGUAAAUUCUUCCGAAGACCAUCUCCACCUGAACUCCUGAGUUAGAAGAACGGUGUCAUGGCUAUCACUAACUCCUUGGGUAAUCUCUCUGCAAAAUAAGGAUCCACUAAAAAAAUGGAUAUAAAGUGUUCUGUCAACAUUAAGCACAA